rnacentral:rRNA from 3 species
GACCUCAAAUCAGGUAGGACUACCCGCUGAACUUAAGCAUAUCAAUAG